rnacentral:rRNA from 1 species
UGCGCUACCCUGGUUGAUCCUGCCAGUAGUCAUAUGCUUGUUUCAAAGAUUAAGCCAUGCAGGUCUAAGUAUAAGCUACUUUACGGCGAAACUGCGAAUAGCUCAUUACAACAAUUAUAAUUUACUCGAUAUAUCAUACUACAUGGAUAUCCAUGGUAAUUCUGGAGCUAAUACAUGCAACAAAGAUCUCUCACGAGGUCUGCAUUUAGACGCAUCAGCACCCUCCGAGCAGCUUUGCUCGUUGAUAAUGAUUGGACUGAACAUGUAAAUCGCAUUCUUGCGGCAUUUCGUCCAAGUUUUUGACCUAUCAGCUCCCGUCGGUAGGGUAUAGGCCUACUGAGGCAGUGACGGGUAACGGGGAAUUAGGGUUCGAUUCCGGAGAGGGAGCCUGAGAAACGGCUACCACAUCUAAGGAUGGCAGCAGGCGCGCAAAUUACCCAAUCCCGACAUGGGGAGGUAGUGACGAGAAAUAGCAACGCAAGACCUAAGGUUUUGUGAUUGCAAUGAGCGGAGAGCAAAACAUUUCGUGAUUAUCUAUUGGAGGGCAAGUCUGGUGCCAGCAGCCGCGGUAAUUCCAGCUCCAAUAGCGUAUAUUAAUGUUGCUGCAGUUAAAGCGUCCGUAGUCGGAUUUGACAUAGCCUUUUCAUAUGCCAAUGCAACUUCGUUGUUUUUGGAUUUGAAUUGUCUUUGUUUGAUCACUCAGUCUCUGACUGCAGUGAUCCAUUACUUUGAGCAAAAUGGAGUGCUUAGGCCAAGCGUUAGCUUGCACAACUCAGCAUGGAAUGACAAGAUAGACUUUGAUUCUUCUUGUGGGUGACAUGAAUCGAAGGAAUUGAUUGAAAAGGACACACGAGGGUACUUGUACUUGCUGGAGAGAGGUGAAAUUCUAAGACCCAGCAAAGACAAACAAGUGCAAAAGCAUUUACUCAGUAUGUGCCUGUUGAUCAAGGACGAAAGUUGGGGGAUCGAAGACGAUUAGAUACCGUCGUAGUCCCAACCAUAAACUAUGCCGACUGAGGAUCGGAGGAUGUCUCAUACAACUCCUUCGGCACUCAAUGAGAAAUUUGAGUCUAUGGGCCCUGGGGGGAGUAUGGUCGCAAGGCUGAAACUUAAAGGAAUUGACGGAAGGGCACCACCAGGAGUGGAGCCUGCGGCUUAAUUUGACUCAACGCGGGAAACCUCACCAGGCCCGGACAUAGUUAUGAUUGACAGAAUGAACGUUCUUUCUCGAUUCUAUGGGUGGUGGUGCAUGGCCGUUCUUAGUCGGUGAGGUGACUUGUCUGGUUAAUUCCGAUAACGGACGAGACCUCGACCUACUAAAUAGGGGACUCUUUAUUCGUUAAAGAGGAUCACUACUUAGAGGGACCGUGGAAAUAUAUUCCAAGGAAGUUCGAGCCUAUAACAGGUCUGUGAUGCCCUUAGAUGGCCUGGGCUGCACGUGCGCUACAAUGACAGUAACAGCGAGUUUAUACCCAUUCCGUGAGGAAAUGGUAAGCUUUUGAAAUGCAGUCUUGAUGGGAAUUGACCUUUGCAAUUAUGGGUCAUGAACGAGGAAUUCCUAGUAAGGACAAGUCAUUAACUUGUGCUGAUUGCGUCCCUGCCCUUUGUACACACCGCCCGUCGCUUCAACCGAUUGGAUGAUCCGGCGAACCACAAAGACCUAUUGAGUUGCUCGGUUCCGCCGAGUACUCAGAGGAAAUUGUUGUGAGCCUUAUCAUCUAGAGGAUGAAGAAGUCGUAACACGGUAUCCGUAGGUGAACCUGC